CAGGGACCAGUCCCAAGUGGAUCCGCGCCGAGGAGCACGGGAAAACGAGUCCCGCGGUGACGCCUCUUUGGAGGCUCUGGGUUGUGAGAACUACAACUCCCACAAGGCUGCGCGCGGCGGGCUCAGCGCUGGGAGGACUGCCUCAAGCCUGGGUUCUAAAUCUUGACAACAGAACAUAAUGGAACCAGCUGUGUCUGAAGGCAAAGGUCAAGUUGAGAGGAGAGACCUGUGUGAGAAGACUCUGAAUAUAGGCCAUCUAACCAGUUCCUAAAUCCUUCUGAUUUUUAGUCCUGGAUCAAACUGGGCCAAAUCUGAAGACAACAUACUUACGGAGUAUGACUUCUGACCUGGAUCUAAGCUUGUUCAGCAAGCUGCAAGGUUAUGAAUACCCUACUAUGGGGGAAGGGUGAUUUUGGAACAGGCUCAUUGUCACAGUUUUCCCCCUGGCCUCACCCCUGCCUGGUUGGACUCUCUUCAAAGUCUUAUUGUGCAUCCUGAUGUGAGUACAAACUGAAAGCUGUUUUUCUAUAGGCCCCGGGAGUGCCAGACAACACUGCUUUGGAAACUAUAAUCCCCGUAGUUAGAGAUAUCUGUUCUCCACAUCGUGGCAAAACAUGGUACAACUUUUGUGCGGAAGGACCCUGAUAAUUUGAACAGCUUCGGCAGCUUCAGUACAUCAGGGUAAGCUUUAAGAUGACGUAACGUUGGCAUCUGAGAACCAGUACCUUCGGCCACAAUGGACAGGCCACCCUAGCCCACACCCUCCACUCUGGCAGCCUCAACACAAGUUUGUCAAGCAUCAGGAGCAGCACCUUUGACCUAUUUAAGCAAGAGCAGCGGGACACACACAUUGGCCGGGACACACAUGUGUGGUUGGGGUGACUGCGCUGGGGAUAUCUUAGCAGUGGAUCUCCGCAGGAAGCCAGAGCAGGUUAGGUUGGAAAAUGACAGAUUCUGUGUGGUGGCUGAGAGCACUGUUUGUCAGCACAUAUACGACAACUCUUGGGGAGUCCUAUAAAUAUUGAGUACGUGAUACAUGGUGGUGCUGAUACUGCUGGUGAGGAAACCAAGGCAUAGAGGCUAAACAGCUUGCCCAAGCUUCACAGUUAACCUGGCCUAUGUCCCAAGGCACGUGGUGUACCAUGGUUUAUGGACCAAACCUGAGAUCGGGAGAUCUUCUGAUCAGGCGCUAAACCCAGGAGACUGUUUGAAAUUCCAAAUCCUAAGAGUGAUCGUAGCUCAAAGGGAAGCAGAACACAGCCAAAAAAUGUCAACUCAGAAAGGCACCUCUGUUAUCAGCUGCAGCAAAUCGCUCGCUUUAGGGAUGAUGAGGCUGGGACCUUGUGAAGUGGACCCGCAUACCUAGCGCGGCUGAAGCUAUACUUCCUUUCCUGAAACAUCAUCCCACUUCUUUCCAUCAGCUUUUGUUUCCUGUUACAUGUGGCACCGCUGUUUUCCUCUUCUCCCAGAGUACACUUGCCCAGGAAGUACUUGCACCUUUUUGGUCCAGACAUUUUCAGAGAUUGAGUCAGAGGUGGAAACAGGGGAAGCAGGCUCCCUGAGAAAUCAGAUCCCAUUACGUCUAGAAAGGGCAGAGGGAAUAAUAAUAACAUUAAAACAACAUGUAACAGCUCUACAACAAUUAUCACAACAGCCAGUCCAUGUAGCACUAUGUUUCCAACACUGUCCUUCCUACUUUAAAUAUUAAUUUAUGCAAAUGAUGUGUGUAUAUCAUCUGAUCCAGACAACGACCCAGUGAAGGAGCCACUGUUAUUAUCCCCUCCUUACAGAGGAGGAAACCGAGGCACAUAGAAGUUAGGAAACUUCCCAGGAUUAUAAAACUAGCGAGUGGCAGAGCCAGGAUCGUGAGCCCAGAAGUCCAGCUCUGGAGUCCAGCCUCUUGCCCACUAGCCCCCCGUGGCCCCUCACAGAGGCAGGAGUACAGACAUGCUACAGUGGUAUUGAUGACAUGGCAGAAGCAGAAUUCAUCCAGCCCUUGCCUUUGUCACCCACGUGCCCGAUGAGCGAGCAGGGCAAUCCCGGCCCCUCUUCUCAGUUUACCCUGCCUGGAUCUGUGGCUCCUGCCCAGAGCUUCCGUAACUAUUUGUUGGCCCCCUUUCUCGGUUCAUUGUUCCAUGUUUGUUUUUUCUAACAUUUCAUGAGAAGAUCUUAAACCUAUGCAAAAGUAGUCCAAAUAAUAAAAAUAAAUCCCCAUUACCCAGCUCCUACCCACAAGUGUUGUUCCCUGGCCUUUAAAAAAUACAUCAUUUAUUUCAUUUUUUGCCCUUUUUUAAAUUUUUACUUGUUUUGAGACAGAGAGACAGAAUGUGAGUGGGGGAUGGGCA